rfam:Corynebacterium riegelii strain PTDD_83A45 genome.
UGACGGAGAGCGUGUACGGACUCUGUCCGGGGCGUGAGCUCCUCUGGUGUACUUCCCCGACAUCAGAGCAGCCGCCCCGGACAGGGCUCUACUCGCUCCCCGCAAGGGC